GACGAACGCUGGCGGCGUGCUUAACACAUGCAAGUCGAGCGGGAAACUUCGGUUUCCAGCGGCGGACGGGUGAGUAACACGUGGGCAACCUGCCUCACAAUGAGGGAUAGCCUUCCGAAAGGAAGAUUAAUACCUCAUAACACAAGAGAAACGCAUGUUUCUCUUGCCAAAGAAUUUCGUUGUGAGAUGGGCCCGCGGCGCAUUAGCUUGUUGGUGAGGUAACGGCUCACCAAGGCUUCGAUGCGUAGCCGACCUGAGAGGGUGAUCGGCCACAUUGGAACUGAGACACGGUCCAGACUCCUACGGGAGGCAGCAGUGGGGAAUAUUGCACAAUGGAGGAAACUCUGAUGCAGCAACGCCGCGUGAGUGAUGAAGGUCUUCGGAUUGUAAAGCUCUGUCUUCUGGGACGAUAAUGACGGUACCAGAGGAGGAAGCCACGGCUAACUACGUGCCAGCCGCCGCAGUAACAC
rnacentral:rRNA from 1 species